rnacentral:rRNA from 1 species
UACGUAGGGUGCGAGCGUUGUCCGGAAUUAUUGGGCGUAAAGAGCUUGUAGGUGUCGGUUUGUCGCGUCUGACCGUGAAAUUCGAGCUCAACCUCGAACGUUAGCGGUGGGUACGGGCAGACUAGGAGUGUGGUAGGGGUAGACUGGAAUUCCUGGUGUAGCGGUGAAAUGCGCAGAUAGUCGGGAGGAACACCGGUGGCGAAGGCGGCGACCUGGGUAGAUACUGACGCUGAGGUGCGAAAGCGUGGGGAGCAAACAGG